GUGAUGAGGCGUCCAAUCAAAACACUGGACAGCGUAAAGGUGAAGAACAGCGUUUCCUCCAUCAGGUCCAUUAUUUUGUAUAUCAGCUGUGUACUAUGACUCUUAUACCACGGCCACUUACUGAAGAAUAUAAAGGCAGCGUGUGUUUUCAUCAUUAGCAGCUUUUACACUUUGUUUGUUGUCAUUUUACUCAUGUGAUGUGUGUGAAGCAUCAAAGUUGUUGCUAUGGUUACCUGCUGGUAUGUUUGAUGUGCUCUGAUGGACAGUUUUAUUACCUGCCAGCCAAUGGGAAACUGGUAUUUUCUGUGUCCGUGGUAUAAAGUUGAAUUCUAACAGU